AAAGAAUUAGUUAAAUUAACAUUAGUAUGUCAAACUAAAAUUAUUAGUUUAAAUCUAAUAUUCUUUG
rnacentral:tRNA from 1 species